UCUUCGCAAGCCUCGUACGCUCAUACCCACUGUUUUAGGGAACAACCCGCAUGGCUUCGACCGGAACGAGCCUGACGAGAAAGACGUCGCUUCCAAAAGUUAAUCGGCUGAUCGCGAAAUUGUGCAAAAUUACCUGGGAAAAAAUCCGGAGGCCAAAACCUUAUCGGGAGUGUUGAAGCAAGUAAUCAACAACAUUGACUCGUAGACCAAACACCCGCGGCAUCAUCUCCUCCGUAGCUCCAAUCACCAGCUCCAUCGCCGUCUCCUGUCUUUAGGAAGAUUUGUUUUGCCGGAACUAAUCGUUGGCACUGCUGUCGACCAUAAAAGCGAAGGUCCGAUAACUAAAUACCCUCCCCUUCGGUGAAAAAUUUACGAAAACUGGGUUACCUGAUGAACAAACCCAAUUCAACCCCACCCGUAGAAUUUCUCGAAUGGGUCCCAAGUUGAGGGUGAUCACAAAUAAAAGCUUCAGCGUCCAAGAGUCUUUUUGUACAGCACCUACAAGGCUGGAAGUCUUGCUGGAAAAAGCACUGCGCUGACUUUCGAGUACCAGAAACAUAGGUGGCACUUUCAGAUGGUAAAUCCAAUCCGGACGAACUGUGACGAAGCUUAAUGAGAUGCAAAAGGAUUUGUCAAAAGCAGCUAAGCCCAGCACGCGAUGGGAGAUGAUGACCGAAUUUUCCAUCAUUAGGAACAUUAGUAACAAUGCUGGUGUGAAGGACAUCACGAAUGAGAUGUUUGCAGGUAACUAACCGGUCAUUUGUCAAUUGGUGCAGGUGAUUCAGGUAAGCAAAUGGGAAUUAGGAAAGUUUAGCAGUUAGAUAUAAACAAAAACAUUCAGUAAUUUUCCAAAAGAUACUCCAUAAAUCAAUUUACGAAGCACCAUAAAAAUUAAAACAGAAGCUUUCUUGGUCAGAACAA